CUCUAGGAUUCUAACUAGGAAUAUAGGCUACUGUCUGCGUUGCCAUUGUUCGUCUCUCUAUGAGGUACAACUUUACCCCCAUCUAAGCUCAGGGCAGCGAGGUCAAACCACACCUCUCAUGUGAUGAUCGGUUCAGAUGAUGGGGGAGCAUCACCCGUGUGUGCUCCCCCUGUGUGCUCCAUAGGGCUCCAAAACCUCCCUGUUAUCUGCCAGAUGCUGGGGGCACAGUUCGUCUCCCAGGGGGCCCUGUUCUUUUAGCUAGGUCUUUCCAGCACCCAUUCAUACAUAGGCCCUAAGUUUGAAGGCAACACUGAACCCUGAGUCUGUCUUCCACAGAGAUUCAGGAAUGUCACUCACUCCUUUUCUAAGCAGAGGCCAAAGGAGAGGAAUACUCAGGGAGAGAGUAAGCAAGGUAAAGAGAGCUUGAAGACCAGGAUGGCCUAGAACAUCUGUAGCUACCUUUUAUUUUAUUUUAUUUUAUUUUAUUUUAUUUUAUUUUAUUUUAUUUUAUUUUGAGGACUGUGUAGACUCUAGACAGGAGGCACCUCCAACCAGGUGAAACGAUAAACAUUCCCAUCUUACAGGUGGAAAAACCAAGGGCUGGAAAAGCUGAGUCUAAGACUACACAGUUCAGUAGAACAUGGGUUGUGUACACCCACCUCACUGUUCCGGCAUGAAUCUCUCUCUCUCUCUAUGGAAAGGGAGGUCCUGCCUUCUUAAGAUUAGGAAUGUGUGAGAAGCCGAGGUGGAAAUUUUGCUUUCGAGAUUUUCCCAGAAAGCAGGGGCAGCAUGUCCCUCUGCUACUCAUCUGUCCAUCCCAGCGUCCUCCAGGCAGGAAGCUGGCUGUGCCUGCAGGCCCAUAUCCUCACUUGUCUGCCAGAUGCCCCACAGGACUGCUGGUGUCUCAGGAAGCUGAGGGAGCCGACACCUGGCAGAGGUCAGAGACUUAUUCAAGACCCCACAGCUGUUUGGUGACUAGCCUGGGAUAAGAGCCCAGGUCUCUUUCUGGUUACAGUGUCCUGUUCACCGGGACAAGGCCCUGGGAACAGACCAGCCUUGGCGGGAGCCUUCCCAGCUAGAGAGGUCUCAGCUUUCUGGAACUCCAGGGAGCUCCGUGCAAAUCUGUGUGCAGGAACCCAGCCCCACCCUUUGCCAGGAACAGCUAAGGGUAUCCACACCCAGGAUUUCAGUCCCAAAGCAGGUUGAGAUGAGAGAGCUUAUAGGAUUUAUCUUGCACUUAAGGUCCAGUGUCAGGGACAGGGGCUUUCCCACUGAAACCACAGCAUGGCCUGGGUCAAGGCUAAGCGAGCAGCUGGAGAGCAAAGCUUUGCACUGUGAAGCCCAGCUGCCCAGACAGCUAUGCUGUAUCCUGCUGUCCCUAGGGCCAGCUGGAGACAGGGGGAGUCCCUGGCAGGGAACCCUGGGGAGGGCUUAGUGGCAUUUGCAUGGGGCUUCAUGCUUUGUGGUUUCUGAGAAACCAUUUUACACAGUCUGAUGGUGGAAGGGAAGCUCUGCUGGAGGCAGGGGUUCCCGGGACCAGGCUUCCUCAGCAAGCGCAUUUCCUGAUGAGCCAUGUCAGCCGGUGUUUCUGUCUUGCCAGCUCCGAUGACUAACUCCAGAGUUGUAAGUUUGUCCUUUCAUCAGAGGCUGUAUCUGCUAGCAGUGAUGUCUAACCUUUGAUCUUGUGAUACACUGUUGCCAUCUACAAAUGUACUUGGGCUACACUGGUAGCUGCCCUGGAACGCCUACAGAGCUCAGGGUUAUCAACAGAUCCCAGAUAGAAUCUCCGUUUCAGCCAACUGCUCAAUCCUUCUAAACCUCCACGUACCACCCUGUAAAAUGGGAAUAGUUAUAUAUCUUAACUUCUUGAAUGUUACAGAGACCUAAUGAGGACCUGUAAGUUCUGAGGAGAGGAGAGGGUCUCAGAAUCUUCUAGGAUUCUAGGUUGUUGUUCACUAAGUGAAGAAGACAAGACACUGUAUGUGAAGCAGACGAGAGUUCUGAGCUUGACUCCAGUCACAGGGCCACCGUAUUUCUUCUCCACAGCGAUGCAUACCAUUGUGGUUUUGAAAAUACGGCUUUCGGCUCACAGUGCUCAGUGCCAGUCCUGACGUGUGAGCCGGGUUCAUGGUGAUAAUAGUGGUUAUUUGAGUGGGCAGGAUAAUGCAGGCAUUUGAGAAGGUUCCUAGAGUUGGGGAUUCUGGGGUGACUUGGAGGGCAGUAGGCUGGUCCGCAACGUGGGUUGAUCAGAGAAGGGCCCGGGAGCUGGAGAACGGAGGUGGGUGGCAUUGUCAGUGCGGAGUUAGAGGUAAGGUUUUAAGGUCACUUCAAAGCAUUCCAAGUGGGUAAGGGAGCUGAGAAGACGGAGGUUUGAACACACCAUUGGAAGAGUCUUCCCCUUUGGCUACAAGAGGCUCCGACAAAGGCAGAUAACCCAGAAGUUUAGGGGAAUGCAUGAGACGACAGAAUUCUACCAGCUGUUUUAAAAAUGGGACCUCGUCCACCUCAGAGAGCAUCUCAAAGUAGCUUAUUUGUUUAAUUUUUUUCCCCCACUGCUUUGAUGUUGCAGACGGCAACUCUCAGACCAGCAUACCAGACUCCACUCAGCCUCCACAAACACUUAGUACCAGAUGAUCUAUGUCUCCCAUCUAUCUCUCCCUCCCAGGCAGAUGGGCCACCGGAAGCCCUGGAUGUGAGCGAAUAGGACUGUCAGGGAGCACACUGUGGCUGUGGCGGCGCUGGGAGGCCUCCAGCCAAAUACAGGCCCCAGUGUUUCUGCUGCAGCAACAUCUGGGGACCAUGACCUCCUUGAAGCAUCCUGGUGGAAAGCUGCUAGGGAGAAGAGCAAAUAACUGGUGUCUGACACUAGCACUUAGUGUCACCACACGUGGUUCUCUAAGCAGCUCAUCCCAAGCUGUGAAGGCAUGGGAUGGUGCUUUCCAGGGAGAAACAGACAGGGUUACUCAUUUACGUUUAAUUUGUUUAAAAACAUUUGUCUCCUCAGUGCCUCUCGGAAAUCCUACAAACGAUGGGAUCUGCUCUCUGUGGCAUCCUUGAGCAGUGCCCAGAAUUUCCAGGGAGCGUCCAGUAUUGUCAGCUUACCGGCAGCCUUGUUUAUGUGGGAAGAUUCCCACAGCAGGAACAACGAGACCCGAGCUGUGUUUCUCAAGCCCGUCAUGCUAUUGAUUUCCAUCAAACUUGAAAGGUAUUACCUGUGAGUUGCCAGCAGAGGUAGAACGUGAUGUUCAAGGACAACUCUUGAUUUUCCGUGAUUUGGGGUAUCUACUUGGAAAUCAGCCCUGUUGACCUGAAGAAUAGCCAGUCACCAUUUACCUACAUGGAUCUAGAGGCUGUAGCUAAGUUUGGCAAGAAGAUGUCAACUUUUAUCUACAGAUACGAAUGUUAUAUUUUAAUUGUCUCAUCCUUUAGAUAAAUAUCAAGUAAAUACAUAUUCUAAUUUUAGA